rnacentral:tRNA from 1 species
GGGGUCGUGGCUCAGUGGCAGAGCGCAGGCUUAGCACGUGUGAGGCACUGGGUUCAAUCCUCAGCACCACA